rnacentral:lncRNA from 1 species
AGAAAUAUAAAAGAGUGUAAUUUGUGAUAAAUGAGUGUGCAAAAUUUGAUAUAAAUUAUGUUAAAUAGGUAUCAAAUAGAUUAUUGAAUUGUGUCGUGUCACUGGACAAGAUUAAAUAAUUAUUAACACAGCUACCACAAGGCAUACAAGGCCGCAGCCCCAAGGCCCACGGCCCACUAUAAAUAAUAUUUCAAAUAGAGUUGUGUAACUUAAAAAGAGUAUUUUUCUACUUUGGACACGAAAAGUUUAAAAGUGUUACAUUUAAACCCCCCAAGUUCUAGACAUUUUCUUUUUAUAUUUUGGCAUCUCUAACUUUACUGCUUUAACAUAUACAUGCCUUAUUCAACGAUGUUAUCAGAUGUUGACUUCACCAAAACAGUCACUGUUUCUAGAGGAUAAGUAGGAUUUACGAAAGCAUGUGCUCAUUGUUAGACAAGAUUAAAAAGCUAUGAAAAUGGCGGCGACAUGCAUGUUGCUCCUUUUUUUUUUGGUGUGCUUUUGCUUUUAUCAAAGUGCUUUUUCGUCUACACAAAAUGGAUUGAGAAGCGGCUGCAACACUGGCAAUUGUACUAGCUAUUUGCUUUGCUCACCAAGUGCUUGCGGAAAAGCAACUAUCACUCAAAGUUGUCAAUCGGCCGUGCUCAUGAUUACAAGAAGCGACUAGGGACAAUGUCAUACUGAGCUAAAGAGCCCGGCUCCUUUGACCUUUCAUAAAAAUUAAAAGUGAAAAAAAAAAUUUUUAGAGAAAAACUUAUGUAACCCGGACAUCAAUUCAUACGAUUCAAUAAUAUCUUAACAUAUAUACAUUCGUUUUAAAAUA